AUGGACCACCUGGGAGCUGGUGAGUUUGUGUGGGUGAGCUGUGGCCGAGAGGCUCAGGCUCUUACCCUGGGGAACGUCCCCGUUCGACACCUCGGCCGAGCCUUGCGGGGCCUCGGAGGAGGACGAGGCGCCGAGGUUCUGAGAGUCCGACCUGCGCGGCUCCGCCUGCUGGUCGCAGAGGUCCAGGCUCACCUCGGGGUUGCUGGUGCGGUGGCGCUCGCGGGCGAUCCACUCCCUGAUGGAGAAGUCCUGGGAGCUGCACUUGGGCUUCAGCCGGUCCACAGCCGACAGCUCGGACCGGGAGCCCGAGCCCAUGUGGACGGGCCAGUCCCCCAACACGGACAGCUCUGCGAAGUCCCUCUGGCCCCCCAUGGUGUGCCUGCGCCUGAUGUUCUUCUUCCUGCUGCGGCCCUCUGGAGACCGGCUCCUCUGGCUGCCCACGCCGAACAUGUCGUCCACGGACACGCGCAGGCGCACCUUCAGCCUGUCGGUGAUCUUCAGCUUCCACGCGGGCUCGGCUUUGUCCAGCUCCCCGCGGGCCGAGGCGGCGAGGCUGCCCGUGGAGCGGCCUGUGGCCGAGCCCACCGCGCGCGCCAGCCUGCUGGAGUCCCUGUCGCCCGGGGCUGCUUCCAGCGACGUCUGGCUGGUGGCCUUCUGUUGGGCGGCUUUCUUCCUGGACAGCGUGUCGCACUCGAUCAGCCGGUGCGAGGGGAUCGGCCGCGGCGCCUCCUGCGCCCCGUCGCUCCUGGUAACUGUGAACACGGACAGGUCGCUCUCGCUGUCCGUCUCCGCCGCCCUCCCCUCGCUGACCAGCUCGCUCCGCUCGUCGUCUGCGUCGUCGCCGCCCCUGCUCUCCGCCACCGACUGCACCUCUGGACUCAGAGUGCUGAGCUCGGCGCCGGUCAGGAACGUCAUGGACGAUGUGGUGGAGUAGUCGGAGGUGAUGGAGCAAACCUCCGCACCGGGGCCGCUCGGGCCCGCCUCCGGACCCUGAACCGCCGUCUGCCCCCGCCUCGGUCGGGGAACCGAUGCGUGAGAGCUGGUGCUGUUCAUCGUACCGAGGUCGGACACCGUGUCGUCGUAGUUCGAGGGCGGGUCCGACGGACAACACAGGUGGGCGACUGGCAGUCGGUAGCCGAGGGUGGGGGAGUGUGA
rnacentral:lncRNA from 1 species